rnacentral:lncRNA from 1 species
CAUGGAUGCAAUUUGGGUACUCCUCAUUACAGAAUCAUGGAUAGUUUGGAGGUUGAUUCAAACCCAUUUUUUUAUGACUCAAUAUGGAUUAAAAAUAAAAUUGGUGUACCUAUACAAUAAAGAAGGAUAGGGCUACAAAAUAAACACAGUAUGGACAUUUUUUUCUUGAUCAUAAAAAAACGUAGGUGAAAAAACUGUCAAAAUAGGUGCAAUUUGGGUACCGUCACGUUAG